GGGGUGCGUUUAAUGCUAAUAUGACGCGGUAAGGCGUAGGUGGCCGUUGAUGAAUUUUGAGUGAAAAUGUUAGCUUAAGUAGCGGAAACAGGGGCAAGAAUCCAAUGGCCCGGUAAUUUAAGAGAUCCUCCGCGAGGCUGGUCCGAAGAGGGUUAGUCGGCGUCUAAGUUGUUUCGCCACGUUUAAAGGUGAGUAAUCGCGAUGAUUGACGGAUUAAUAUUUCUGUACUACUAGUUCGGUUUUACAAGAGAUGAAUUAGGUAGGGGAUGUCCUGUUGUUGGUCAACGGGUUUAAGUAAUUUGAGGGUGUUGAUAAAAUUGUGGCGAAACCUAUUCGGUUCUUACUGUGUACCCUCAGUUUGACGAACGUACGAAAGCAAUGAGGUCGUACUUCGGUAUUUAACCAUCCGCUACCACGAUUCCGAGAAAAUUCCUGUGGAGAUUAUAUCGUUAAGUAGCCGUAUUGAAGCUGACACAGGCGAAUGAGCGAUAUACGCUAAGGGAACGAGAUAACUCUAAUUAAGGAACUCGGCAAAAUGACUCCGUAACCUCGGGAUAACGAGUGCCUAGUUAAUAGGUUCAAUGAAUUUGAUGUGGGCGACUGUUUAUCAAAAACACAGGUUUCCGCCAAGUCUUAAAACAAUGUAUGGAAGCUGACACCUGCCCAGUGCCUAAUGGUUAAUGUGAUUCGUUUAAGCAGAAUUGCGAAAGCUCUGGUGAACGGCGGCCGUAACAAUAACGGUCCUAAGGUAGCGAAAUUCCUUGUCGGGUAAGUUCCGACCCGCACGAAGGGUGUAACGAUCUACAUACUGUCUCAAUGAGGGGCUCGGUGAAAUAGGCAUGCCCGUGAAGAUACGGGUUAUUUUUACCUGGACAAGAAGACCCUAUGAAGCUUUACUUUAACCCAGGGCUGUAGCCUUUUUUUAAUUGUGCAGAAUAAGUGGAAG
rnacentral:rRNA from 1 species